UGCCGGUGUACCCCCGUCGGAGGUUGACUGUGUGUGUGUGUGUGUGACCCCUGUUUGGGGCUCACUGUGCAAGAGACGGUGUGUGUGACCCCCAUGGGGGGUGACUGUGUGUAAGUGUGACCCCCGUCUGGGGUUGCCUGUGUGUGACUCCUGUGUGGGGGGUGACCCCCAUGGAGGGGUUGACUGUGUGUGAGUGUGACCCCCGCCUGGGUGGGUGACUGAAUGUGUGACACCGCCCCCUCGCCCCGUCGGGGGUGACUGUGCAGGGCACUUGUCCUGAGACUGGAACUCCUGAUUGGGUAAACUGCGUGAGAUGCCGUUCUGGGAUGCCGGAUCCUGUGUGCGUCUUCCUGUGUGUGAUUCCGGCCUGUCCCCUGGGGGCCGUGCCUGUGUGGUGCUAGGGGGGAGCAGCCGCAGGGGUGCCCCUGUGGAGGUGAAAUCGGUUCCCCUGGUGCACGUCCCUGGGGUUCUGGCUGUGGCCGUGAGUGGCGGUCCUCUGUCACUGUGUGUCGUUUACAAAGUACUCCUCUGCACGUAAUUUCAUGGUUCCUUCUCAAAAACAACGGGUGAAGAAGUCAGCUCCAGGAAGAGGUUAUUCGGACAGCCUGUCAAGCCUGAAAGUGAAGUGAAAGUGAAAGUCGCUCAGUCGUGUCGGACUCUGCAACCCCAUGGGCUGUACGGUCCAUGGAAUUCUCUAGGCCAGAAUACUGGAGUGAUGGGUAGCCUAUCCCUUCUCCAGCGGAUCUUCCCAACCCAGGGAUCGAACCCAGGUCUCUCACAUUGCGUGUGGAUUCUUUACCAGCUGAGUCACCAGAGAAGGCCACGAAUACUGGAGUUGGCUAUCCCUUCUCCAGUGGAUCAACCCGACCCAGGAACCAAACUGGGGUCUCUGGCAUUGCAGGCAGCUUCUUUACCAGCUGAGCCACCAGAGCAGCCGGUCAAGCCCAGGCCUUUGAUCCUAAGCCCCGCCUUCCUUGUGUUGCUUUGCAUCCAGUCCACUUCCGCUCUAAACACGUUAAAAAAAUAAAUUUUUUUUUUUGA